rnacentral:misc_RNA from 1 species
GUAACGCCGUGGUGGGAUCGGUGGUGAAACAAAAAGGCAUAUCAGUGUAGACAUGAGGAGUUAACAACCAUUACACAAGAAUUUCACUCAUUUUCCUCCUCCAAUUGCUACUGUCAAUUCAAAAAAGCUUAGCUUGAGGGAACAGAAAUGGUGUCGUACAUGAGCUUGUUGCUGUACGGAGUGGGAGGAAUAGUGGUCGCCGGGAUGGCAAUACUGGUCGCCUUUCAGGAAAAACUUGUAUAUGUUCCCGUCUUACCUGGACUCACUAAGGCAUAUCCAAUUACUCCCGCUCGACUUCGACUCCUUUACGAAGAUGUUUGGCUCAGAUCUUCAGACGGUGUUCGUCUUCAUGCUUGGUUCAUCAAACUCUUCCCUGACUGCAGAGGUCCUACUAUCAUCUUUUUUCAAGAGAAUGCAGGAAAUAUUGCACAUCGUCUUGAAAUGGUUCGCAUAAUGUUACAACGUUUGCAAUGCAAUGUUUUUAUGCUUUCUUAUCGAGGUUACGGAGCCAGUGAUGGAUACCCUUCUCAACAUGGAAUCACAAAGGAUGCUCAGGCUGCACUGGAUCAUUUAGUUCAGAGGACCGAUAUUGACACAUCAAGAAUAGUAGUCUUUGGAAGGUCACUUGGAGGAGCUGUUGGCACUGUUCUUACCAAAAACAAUCCUGACAAGGUAGCUGGGCUCAUUUUGGAGAAUACUUUCACCUCUAUCCUGGAUAUGGCAGGAGUUCUCUUGCCAUUCUUGAAGUGGGUCAUUGGUGGCAGUGGCUCAAAGGGUUUCAAGCUUCUUAACUUUGUUGUUCGAUCUCCAUGGAAUACCAUUGAUGUCAUUGGUGAGAUCAGGCAACCAAUCCUCUUCCUAUCUGGAUUACAAGAUGAGAUGGUUCCACCAUUCCACAUGCAGAUGCUGUAUGCAAAGGCAGCGGCACGUAACAGGCAAUGCUUAUUUGUGGAAUUUCCUAGUGGGAUGCACAUGGAUACCUGGUUGGCAGGUGGUGAUCAUUAUUGGAGGACAAUUCAGAAAUAUUUGGAAGAAACUGUCCCAGAGAAGAAGGAUGAUGAAUCAAAGAAGGAUUCCGAACUGUCCUCUAAGCAAAAUGUAUCUUCAGAUUUCGCUGCAAGCUGAAAUGUUGAGUUUCAGGCAGUUCAAAUGUAACUUUGGAUUCGAGGAUUCAAAUACAUUUCUUUUGAUGUUGCAGUGAUGAAGAGCAGUUUGUGAUAUCAAGGGAAUGGAAGUGCAUCCUUUCAAAUAUUUAUUCUUCUGAUGAUAUUUUUUGGUGUCCUAUUUUCAGAAGGUAAAAAGAUGUGAAGGGUCUUGAUUUAUACUGCAUCUCACUAACAAUACUAGGGUGUCGAAAUAUAGGUCCAGCUGAGUUGUUUUGUAUGAAUAAGGAUCCAAACGUAAAAUGGCAACUCUCUACUAGAGAGUGAUAACAGGCGGAAGACAUUCUUUCGUGUGAAUGGCUUACUCUUUAUUUUGGUGUGAUGCUUUUUCUUCCAAAGGGAGUUAUAAUUUGUGAACUUCCAAUCUAUGUAUUCAAAAACUUUCCUAAGUUAUUACGUACACACCAGGAUUUUCAGCUGAAGGACUUGUUCGUAUUCAAAUUUCAACUAUAACUUGCAUAAUAUACCAUUUGAGGAAAAC